rnacentral:lncRNA from 1 species
CAGAGAAUGAGAACUCGUAGUCCCUUUCCAUUGAUCUAGUACAUAUUUAUACACAGUGAAGGGGUGUCUUUGUACCCCUUCGUGGAUUACAGAGAGAGAGAAAGAGUUACAACUUUUCACUAACAGACACCUUUUCACUAACUAUCUCUAUUUCCCGGAGUCCUUUGCUUCAUGCAUCCUGGCGACGAACGGUUGUACCUUUUCCUGAACGGGUGUCUUUUCAUAAAGAUGAGAUCACCGUUGAAUUAAUUCUUAACACUCCCCCUUGAUCGAAUCCAUUUUUAUUGAGAUCAACUUGGAAUAUAUAAACUAACAAUCUCUAAUCUAUUAUGUCUAUUAUUAUCUUGUAAAAACCCUGUGGGAAAAAUAGAUGAUAUGACAUAUGUCCUAUGUUGAUAUUACCUCAUUAAAAACUUUAUAUGGUAAAACCUCAUCGAGGGAAAAAUCCAUAGAAAGAAAAGAGUAUAAUAUAAUGUCAACUAGGUUAUAUUUUGGAGAGUUAUACUCCCCCUAAUUCCUGCAAAUCUCUAAGUCGUCUCAUACCUAUUCCUUUAACAUAUUUCGAAAAUGUGGAAUAUGGUAAUGACUUUGUAAAUAAGUCACCAAGAUUAUCACAUGACUUAGUUUGCAAAAUGUUUAUUUCCCCAUCCUUUUGUAACUCAUGAGGGUAAAACAAUUUUGGAGCAAUAUGUUUUGUAAUAUUACUUUUUAUAUAACCAGUCUCCAUCUGAACAACACAGGCAGCAUUAUCUUCAUAGAUAAUGGUUGGUGAGUUAAUUGAACCAAUGCCACAUGACUGCGUUAUGUGGUUUAUCAUUCUGCGAAGCCAAGUACACUCCUUAGAGGCUUCAUAUAAUGCAAUAAUUUCAGAAUGAUUAGUGGAGGUAGCUACCAAAGUUUGUUUGGAUGAUUUCCAAGAGAUAGCAGUUCCACCCUGUAAAAAUACAAAACCGGUUUGAGAUCUGGCAUUAUGGGGAUCAGAUAAAUAGCCAGCAUCAGUAUAUCCAAUUAAAGUAGGGUCUUGACUUCUACUAUAGAAAAGACCAAGAUCUUUCGUGCCAUUAAGAUAUCUAAAAAUAUUCUUAAUUCCAGUCCAAUGACGUUUUGUAGGAGCUGCACUAUAUCUCGCAAGUAAAUUCACUGCAAAUGCAAUGUCCGGCCGGGAAUUAUUUGCAAGAUACAUGAGUGCUCCAAUAGCACUGAGAUAUGGAAAUUCAGAACCCAAAAUCUCUUCUCCUUCAUCCUUUGGUCGAAAAGGAUCUUUAUUCAUAUCGAGAGAUCUUACAACCAUAGGAGUUUUGACUGGAUAUGCUUUAUCCAUAUUGAAUUUCUCUAAUACUUUCUGGAUAUAUGCCGAUUGAUAUAUAAAAAUUCCUGAAGGUAAAUAUUCAAGUUGAAUACCUAAACAAAAUUUGGUUUGACCCAAAUCCUUCAUCUCAAAUUCCGUCUUUAAAUGAUGACGUGCUUCAUUUAUAUCUUUUUCGCUUCCAAUAAUAUUGAGGUCAUCAACAUAUACUGAAAUGAUACAAAAUCCAGUGGAGGACUUCUUAAUGAACACACAUGGACAAUCAUCAUUAUUAGUGUAUCCUUUAAGAGAAAGGAAUUCACUUAAGCGAUUGUACCACAUUCGCCCUGAUUGUUUUAAGCCAUACAGUGACUUUUUCAACUUUACACAAUACAUGUUACGAUUUGCCGAUGGAUUCGGUAUAUUUAUUCCAUCUGGAACUUUCAUAUAAAUUUCCGAAUCCAGUGACCCAUAUAAAUAUGCGGUUACUACGUCCAUCAACUGCAAAGAUAGACGAUUUUGUACUGCCAGUGAAAUUAAGUAUCGAAAUGUUAUGCCACUCAUUACUGGAGAAUAUGUUUCAUUAUAAUCAAUGCCGGGCUUUUGCGUAAAGCCUUGUGCUACUAACCUUGCUUUAUAUCUCACCACUUCGUUGUUUUCGUUUCGCUUACGAACGAAAACCCACUUGUAUCCUACUGGGAAGGUGCCUUUAGGUGUUAACAUCACUUCCGAGAAUACUUCUCUUUUAUAAAGCGAGGCAAUCUCUUUUUCAAUAGCUUCUUUCCACUGAUUCCAGUCUGAGCGUUUUCUACACUCUACCAUGGAUUUAGGAUCUAGAUCAUUAAGGAUGUCAGCAACUUGUUCAGAGAAAUAAGAGUCGACUACAGUAGCCUUGCGGUCAAAGGUUUCACCAGUUUCAAUAUAAUUGGUAGCAAGUUCAUCUACCCUUAAGGACACAUCAGGAUUUCCCAUAUCCAUGGUCCUCGGGUUUUCCGAUAUUACUUCUUCGACUAUGUGCGCAUUCGAAGAGGGUUGUGUAUCAAUUCCACAUUGUGUUUCAUCAACUUGUUGUUGAUGUGCAUUUACCGUCUUUCUUUUCUUUAAAGGAGGCGAAUCCUUAUUGGUUGCCUUACUUCUCCCCCUUUUAUUAGUAGGAUUUUGAGUGGUUUUGUUUGGUACCUCCACUCUUUCAGGCGCGUUCCUAGCAGGAAUGAAAGACUUUAUUACACCUUUGUAAUUAGUGAAUGCAUCAGGCAGGUUAUUUGCAAUAUUUUGCAAACCAAUAAUUUUCUGAACUUGUAGUUCAUUUUCUUUAGUACGGGGAUCUGAGGAGGAGAUACUCUUCGCAUCCCAAUCAAUUUCUUGGCAUUCUCCUUUCUGGUACUUGAAAUCUCCCCCUAAUGCCGGGAAAUGCUCCUCAUUAAAAAUACAAUCAGCGAACCGGGCCGUAAAUAGAUCACCCGUUAGGGGUUCUAAAUACUUUAUUAUUGACGGAGAUUGGUAACCCACAUAAAUCCCUAACUUUCUGUGGGGGCCCAUAGAGGUACGCUGUGGUGGUGAUAUCGGUAUAUAAACGGCACACCCGAAUUUACGCAAAUGGGAAAUCCUAGGAGGGUCCCCUCGUACUAACUCCAAGGGAGAGGAGUCAUGAUAUGCAGUUGGUCUUAGUUGUAGUAGGUCGGCAGAGUGUAAAACUGCAUGACCCCAACAUGACGUAGGCAAAGAGCAAUUCAUUAGUAAUGGACGCGCAACGAGCUUUAUUCUUUUGAUUAAAGAUUCAGCCAAACCAUUUUGAGUGUGGACAUAUGGGACUGAGUGCUGAACCUGAAUUCCUAAAGCCAUACAAUAAUCAUUAAAGGCAUGGGAGGAGAAUUCAGCAGCAUUGUCCAUUCGGAUCGAUUGGAUCCGAUGUUCAGGAUAAUGUGCCUUUAGCUUUAUAAUUUGUGACAUUAUUUUAGCAAAAGCAUGGUUUCUAGUUGACAGUAAACACACAUGUGACCAUCUUGUAGAUGCAUCGAUUAAAACCAUAAAAUAUCUGAACGGUCCAGAAGAUGGCUCAAUUGGGCCACAAAUAUCGCCUUGAAUUCUUUCAAGAAAUCUAAGUGGUUCCGCUCGGAUUUUAAGAGGUGAAGGUCUUAAAAUCAAUUUCCCUGUAGCACAUGCAGUGCAUAUGUAAUCUGAAGAUUUGGGAAAUUUUGCUUCAGUCAAAUCAUGACCAAUCGAAUUGGUGAUAAUUUUUCUCAUCAUCCCGAUACCUGGGUGCCCUAGUCGAUCAUGCCAAAUUUGAAAUGCAUCGACAUUCUGAAAAAUUACCUUGUAUGUAACAUGUUCAAUGGGCUUGAUGUAUGUAUAAUAUAAUCCGGAUUCUAGAGUUGGAAUUUUUUCACAUAUCUGUUUGCCAUAUUCAGUAGGUUUGGUAAGAAGUAGAUAUUCUUCUUUAUUUUCUUCAUAUGUUUCCACAUGGAUCCCAUUCUUACGAAUAUCUCUAUAACUUAAUAAGGUACGAGUUGAAUCGGGAUAUAAUAAAGCAUUCUCGAUCACAAUUUGAGUACCCAUUGGAAGAGUGAUAAUGGCUCUGCCAGAACCGACUAUCAAUGCAUCUCUUCCAGCAAUUGUUAAAACAUUUCCUUCCCUUUUCUUUAAAGUCUGGAAAUAUUUUAUCUCAGUUAAUAUAGAGUUUGUGGUACAGCUAUCCACAAGGCAUAAUUCCUCCUCCAAUGAACCAUUUCCGGUAGACAUCUAUAUUAAUAACAAGAAUUAUGUGAUUAAUUCUUUAUUUUAUUAAAUAUUUAUUUAUACAUACAUAUGGUAUCUGAUAUCAAUAUUACAAUAAUAAUAUUAUGGUAUAUAUGAGUUUUUGUACUAUCAUUAGUACAACUCUUAUUGUAAUAACUAUAUUCAAAUCCUAAGCAAACUCUAUAUAAUAUGACUUCUAACUAUGAAUUAUAUUACAACACUUAAAUGAUUUGGGUAUCAAAUUUCAAAAGUAGAUAUCUAAACUAGAUCUCCACAUAUGUCGCCCGAGUUGUAUUCAAUCAUCAUGUCGUCCAUCUGCUGAGCGGAUGCCUUGUUGUUGGAACAACCAAUCUCCUUAUCUUUCUCAGUAGCUUGAUUGAAGUGGGCUUCAUAUCUUGAUCUUUUAUUGCCAUCUCGGAGUGACCUUAAAUAAAGGUCUACCAAAUGCUUAGGAGUACGGCAAGUGGCCGCGAAAUGCGUGUUACAACCACACUUGUGACAAAGACGUGGUUUGUCAUUUGCAAUUUUUUCAUUUCCACGAGCUCUCUUGUUUUCUUUAUGCCUAAGGUUCUUUUUAUAGUUGCGACCACGAUGAGCAGGAGGAAAUUUUGGAUUUCUAAGUGGAGAUCCAUUAAAUUUCCUUUUAUUCAGAGCUUUAUUCUGUGCAUGGUGGACCUCGGGUAGAGGUGCAGCACCAACUGGACGUAAAUGAUGGUUCUUCAUAAGUAACUCAUCAUUCUUCUCGGCUUGAAUUAGUGAGUGAAUAAGCUGGGAAUAAACUUGGUGGUUCUCUUUACGAUAUUGAUUACACAAUACCCUGUCUGACGGGUGCAUAGUAGAUAAAGUUUUUUGUAUCUUUUCUGCAUCCGUUGGUUCUUUUUCACAAAAUUUCAACCUUGUGCAUAUGUUAUGAACUGUAUGAUUGUAAUCAGUUACAGAUUUAAAAUCUUGUAAGCGUAGAUGAUUCCACUCAUGUUGUGCUUCAGGACAUAUAAUUUCCUUUUGCUGUUCAUAACGUUCUUGAAGUGCGACCCAUAGGUUUCGAGGAUUUUCUUCCAAAAGAUAUUCUUUCUUUAGAUCUUUAUGGAUGGAAGUCCUUAACAAGAGUAAUGCAGUGUACUUCGCAAUAUCAGUUAUAUUUGGAUUGUUUGCGUCAGGUGCAUUAAUGGUAUGUAAAAUCCCUCUAGAUGCAAAACCAAUUUUGAUAUCUGAUGCCCAUGCAAGAUAAUUGCUACCAUCGAUAGCAAGUUCCUCAAAUUCCUUUAUUCCUUGCAUUUUGCAGUUUUCUUCGCGUUCUUCUGUUCUUGUAUUCUGCGAUGUUUUUCCUUUCUUCGCGUUCUUCUGUUCUUCUAUUUCUUCGCGUUCUUCUGUUCUUCUAUUCCACGAUGUUUCCUCUGUCCAAAACUCAGUGUCUGAGUCUAUGUGCUGAUAACGUAUUAAAAGUAAACGGUUGUGUGAACAGAGAAUGAGAACUCGUAGUCCCUUUCCAUUGAUCUAGUACAUAUUUAUACACAGUGAAGGGGUGUCUUUGUACCCCUUCGUGGAUUACAGAGAGAGAGAAAGAGUUACAACUUUUCACUAACAGACACCUUUUCACUAACUAUCUCUAUUUCCCGGAGUCCUUUGCUUCAUGCAUCCUGGCGACGAACGGUUGUACCUUUUCCUGAACGGGUGUCUUUUCAUAAAGAUGAGAUCACCGUUGAAUUAAUUCUUAACAGAGACGAAUCGCACCGGCGGCACCAUCCUCCGUCAGCGUCCACGUCCGCAUCCGCACGACUCCAUCCAUGCUCGUGCCCUGGGGCUGCGACCGCGCGAGGGAGCCGAGCCGGUCAAGGUCCAGGACCGACAAGUCGCUUGCCGGCCACUUGCCCCCAAGCCCCACCUGCCGGCCGGGGGGCGGCCGAUCCGUUCCGUUCCGUUCCGCGGCGCGAAGCCGGGCACGGAGCUACCCAGUUCGUUUGCUGCUAGCUUUUCCCGCGAGGCAGGCGAGGCCGCUGCCAGCUGCCUCGCCGCCCAGUCGCCCCCCGGCUCGCGCCGCUCCGUUGACGGGGUCCACGCGACGGCGACCGUCCGCAUACAUCCAGAUGGCAGAUCCAGUGCAAGUGCGGCCCGGCCGAACGGGACGGCAUCCGGCCCCGCGACCCCGUCUC